rnacentral:tRNA from 1 species
GCUGGGGAUAGCUCAGUUGGUAGAGUGCCUGCCUCAUAUGCACAAGGCCCUGGGUUCAAUCCUCAGCACAACA